AGGUAAAUUUCUUCUAAAGCUAAAUAUUGGCGAGAGACCGAUAGCGCACAAGUAGAGUGAUCGAAAGAUGAAAAGCACUUUGGAAAGAGAGUUAAAAAGCACGUGAAAUUGUUGAAAGGGAAGCGCUUGCAAUCAGACUUGUUUAAACUGUUCGGCCGGUCUUCUGACCGGUUUACUCAGUUUGGACAGGCCAGCAUCAGUUUCGGCGGCCGGAUAAAGGCUCUGGGAAUGUGGCCUUCACUUCGGUGAAGGUGUUAUAGCCCAGGGUGUAAUACGGCCAGCCGGGACUGAGGUCCGCGCUUCGGCUAGGAUGCUGGCGUAAUGGUUGUAAGCGACCCGUCUUGAAACACGGACCAAGGAGUCUAACAUCUAUGCGAGUGUUCGGGUGUCAAACCCCUGCGCGUAAUGAAAGUGAACGGAGGUGGGAACCGCAAGGUGCACCAUCGACCGAUCCUGAUGUCUUCGGAUGGAUUUGAGUAAGAGCAUAGCUGUUGGGACCCGAAAGAUGGUGAACUAUGCCUGAAUAGGGUGAAGCCA
rnacentral:rRNA from 1 species